rnacentral:sRNA from 21 species
GUCUACUACCUCAUCCUAAAUAUUAGGGGCUUGAAGCAGUUCCUUAGUUGAUUAGAAGGCUUCCCUCUAGGAGAAUCAACAGUUGUUUGUGUUACGACACAUUGGGCUAUUCCACUAGCCUCUUGCUCUGUC